CACGUAGUUAGCCGGGGCUUCUUAGUCAGGUACCGUCAUUUUCUUCCCUGCUGAUAGACCUUUACAUACCGAAAUACUUCUUCAGUCACGCGGCGUCGCUGGAUCAGGGUUUCCCCCAUUGUCCAAUAUUCCCCACUGCUGCCUCCCGUAGGAGUUUGGGCCGUGUCUCAGUCCCAAUGUGGCCGGUCACCCUCUCAGGUCGGCUACUGAUCGUCGGCUUGGUGGGCCGUUACCUCACCAACUACCUAAUCAGACGCGGGUCCAUCUCAUACCACCGGAGUUUUUCACACUUGUGCUAUGCAGCACUGUGCGCUUAUGCGGUAUUAGCAGUCAUUUCUAACUGUUACUCCCCCUGUAUGAGGCAGGUUACCCACGCGUUACUCACCCGUCCGCCGCUAAGUCAAUUUUAACUUCCACCCGAAGGCUUCCUUAAAAUCGCUUCGCUCGACUUGCAUGUGUUAAGCACGCCGCCAGCGUUCAUCCUGAGCCACGGAUCAAACUC
rnacentral:rRNA from 1 species